GACAGAGGGGGCAAGCGUUGCUCGGAAUUACUGGGCGUAAAGGGCUCGUAGGCGGCCAACUAAGUCGGACGUGAAAUCCCUCGGCUUAACCGGGGAACUGCAUCCGAUACUGGAGGGCUUGAGUUUGGGAGAGGGAUGCGGAAUUCCAGGUGUAGCGGUGAAAUGCGUAGAUAUCUGGAGGAACACCGGUGGCGAAGGCGGCAUCCUGGACCAACACUGACGCUGAGGAGCGAAAGCCAGGGGAGCAAACGGG
rnacentral:rRNA from 1 species